GAUGAACGCUGGCGGCGUGCCUAACACAUGCAAGUCGAACGGACGGGGCGGAGCUUGCUCUGCUGGAUGAGAGGGGCACGCGGGAGAAAAACGUGAGCAAACUGCCCCUGAAAGAGGGAGAAGAGUUGGAAACGGCGGCUCUUACACGAGACGAGAUGCUGAAGCAUCUUCAGCAGCUGUAAAGAAUGUUGUUCAGGGCUGAUCUCGCGGCGUAUCAGCUUGUUGGUGUGGUAACGGCGGACCAGGGCGACGACGGCUAGCCUGCCUGAGAGGGUGAGCGGCCACACUGGAAGUGAGACACGGCCCAGACUCCUACGGGAGGCAGCAGUAGGGAAUCGUGCGCAAUGGGCGAAAGACUGACGGAGCAACGCCGCGUGAGUGAUGAAGGUCGUCGGAUCGGAAAACUCUGUCAUUGGGGAAGAACAUAUUUGUAAGUAACUGUGCACAUCUUGACGGUACCUAAUCAGAAAGCCACGGCUAACUACGUG
rnacentral:rRNA from 1 species